rnacentral:rRNA from 1 species
CAGCCGCCGCGGGAAUACGAAGGGUGCAAGCGUUAAUCGGAAUUACUGGGCGUAAAGCGUGCGUAGGCGGUGAGUUAAGUCUGCUGUGAAACCCCCGGGCUCAACCUGGGAAUGGCAGUGGAUACUGGCUCGCUAGAGUGUGUCAGAGGAUGGUGGAAUUCCCGGUGUAGCGGUGAAAUGCGUAGAGAUCGGGAGGAACAUCAGUGGCGAAGGCGGCCAUCUGGGACAACGCUGACGCUGAGGCACGAAAGCGUGGGGAGCAAACAGGAUUAGAGACCCGUGUAGUCCCUGUCUCUUAUAC